ACAAUGACGAUAACUCAGGACCUUCGGACCAGCCCAGUGUGUUAGUAUUGUGUACUCCAUCCCUCAGGCUGAGCUCCGGGGCCGCGUGCUGAGCUUGUCCGUGUGGCACCGUGAAAGCCUGGGUCGCAACAUCUUUUUGGGCGAAGUCGAAGUGCCCCUGGACACGUGGAACUGGGACUCUGAGCCUACCUGGCUCCCCCUGCGGCCCCGGGUUCCACCCUCUCCCGAUGAGCUUCCCAGCCGUGGGCUGCUCUCCCUGUCCCUCAAGUACGUCCCUGCCGGCUCAGAGGGCGCCGGACAGCCCCCAAGCGGGGAGCUGCACUUCUGGGUGAAGGAAGCUCAGGACCUCAUCCCACUGCGUUCAGG